AUUGCUGUAAGAAAUAAUUGUUUAUUUCAAUGUUUAUUUACAAGAGGAAUGAAUGGACCGUUAGAAAGCCAAUCAUGUUCCAAGGGUCCUGGGCAAAGAGAAAAGGGGUCGAUGUUGGGGGAAGGUCUUCAGUGUUUUUUGCUCUGAGCGCGGACCCCUGGUUGGACCUGCCGUACAGCAGACUCAAGCGGAGAAAGGAGGGAAACAGGAAAGAAAGAGAGGGGGAGCAGAGGAGGGUGGAGUGGAGGGUGAGGGCAGAUGGUGAUGGAUGGAGAUCACGUCGGGCUCUGGGCCCCUCUGCGGGGGGAGCAGAUGCUGUCUGAAACACCCUCGCCCAGGUAGAGGAGGGGUGAUGGUGGUGGGGGGAGGAGGGGAGAGCCAUGUAGGUUAACUCAGCCCUGCCUGCCCUGAGGACCCGCGUGCUUACGACGGCAGGACCCCAGCAGUGUCUCCAAAGCCAUCUUCACGAAGGCCUGGAAGUUAUUGCUUCUCUCCCUUCGGCUGUCCUGCUGGGGGAGGACGGACAUGUCACUUCAGUGGAGGCGCUCAGCGGGGUAAUGAAACCUCAGCAUGUAAAGGAGGUCCGAAUGUGAACGGUCCUGCCUGUGAGCAGAGCCUCUCUGUAGAGGGAUUUACUCUAUGGGAACACGGUCUUAGUUUAAUGCCUACCUCCUUGCUUCUUGUUAUCAUCUCCUUUCUGAUCACCUUUCUUCGGCUGCUCCUUAGGACUCUGAGGUUGCUGUAAAUAGAAUGGAACGAUUGAAUGACGUGAACGUUAAGGAAACACCACAUGGAUGGAUGAGAUGGAUGACGAAUCAGUCUGUUUUUAUACCAUUGAUUAACUUGACUGCAAUUUCAGGUCUAUUCUAGUCAAGUUAAUCAAUCUCAUUUGUAUAUUCUUUAAUCACAGUUACCUUGGGAGCUGACUUCUUGUCCGAUUUAUUACCUGUGAAAAGGGAUAGAAAUGGUUCAAGUGGUUAAUAAAUACAUUUCUGGUACUAGGCCUACUAACGUGUUACACAUUUUGCUAUGGCACGGUGAACCUAUUUUAUUUCACUACAACAUGGCACAUGGCAUGGAUGAGAAUACUGCGUGAGCACCUAAAUUAACAUUAAUAAUACAUAAUAGUCCUAUAUAAUAUAUAGUCUUAAAGUGUUUUCCUUUACAUACCUUUUGUUCCUGGCAUCUUGGCUGUGUUCCAAAGUCCGUGAUUUGAAAUGCUGUGCCUGUGUGGGGUUCAGCCCGCUCAUUUAUGGACCGCCACUGUGAAUGGGCCGGUCAGCGGGGCCCCUUCGGGAAACAACACCACCAACAAGCAAAGAGCCCAGUCAGCUGAGCGCCGG
ensembl:lncRNA